rnacentral:lncRNA from 1 species
GAUUACGCCACUGCACUCCAGCCUGGGCGACAGAGCGAGCCUCCGUCUCAAAAAAAUAAACAAAUAAUGGAGUCCACAUGACUUUCAGAAGUGACAGGGCAGUGACCAGCAAGUGAGGCUCAGGGAAAUCCAACUUUUAUUUAGUUAGCCUGAUAUUUUUCCAGUUCAUCAAAUAUGCAUUCCCAUGGAACUUGUGGGAGUUUUCAUUCUCAUGCCCAGUUGGCUGGAGGAACGGCCAGGGUAGGUGGCAGGAGGUGAGGCAUGUUUGUGGCAGGGCCGGGCUUGAGCAAAGCUGAGGUCUGCCCUGAGCUCACUGCGAAGACUGAUCUGCGUGGGUCUGCAGAUAUUCUUAAGAGGCAGCAGAUACCCACUGGAAUCCCUCGAAGCCUGGCAGCCCCCCACGGAGCAGAGGGGGCCCUGUGCAUGAGGUCUCCUUUUCAGCCUCAAAAUCACCAACUUCUCAUCAUUAAAACUGAGAGAGAGAGAGAGAGAGAGAGAACACCAAAGCCUCACCGUGGAAACACAUGAACACGAAUGAGCAGGCUGUAGCGGAAGCAUGCCAUCUACUGCCAUCUGCUUCUGGUGAGGCCUCAGGGAGCUGCCAAUCAUGGCGGAAGGUGAAGGGGAGCCAGUGCAUCACACGGCAA